GACGAACGCUGGCGGCGUGCUUAACACAUGCAAGUCGAACGGAAAGGCCCUGCUUUUGUGGGGUGCUCGAGUGGCGAACGGGUGAGUAACACGUGAGUAACCUGCCCUUGACUUUGGGAUAACUUCAGGAAACUGGGGCUAAUACCGGAUAGGAGCUCCUGCUGCAUGGUGGGGGUUGGAAAGUUUCGGCGGUUGGGGAUGGACUCGCGUCUGAUCAGCUUGUUGGUGGGGUAGUGGCUUACCAAGGCUUUGACGGAUAGCCGGCCGGAGAGGGUGACCAGCCAGAGUGGGACUGAGACACGGCCCAGACGCCUACGGGAGGCAGCAGUGGGGAAUAUUGGAGAAGGGGCGAAAGCCUGAUCCAGCAAUGCCGCGGGAGUGAUGAAGGCCUUAGGGUUGUAAAGCUCUUUGAACCGGGAUGAGAAUGACAGUACCGGGAGAAUAAGCGCCGGCUAACUCCGGG
rnacentral:rRNA from 1 species